rnacentral:rRNA from 1 species
UACGGAGGGUGCGAGCGUUGUCCGGAAUCACUGGGCGUAAAGGGCGCGUAGGCGGUCUGCUAAGCGUGUGGUGAAAGCUCGGGGCUCAACCCCGAGUCUGCCAUGCGAACUGGUGGACUGGAGCACUGUAGAGGCAGGUGGAAUUCCGGGUGUAGCGGUGGAAUGCGUAGAGAUCCGGAAGAACACCAGUGGCGAAGGCGGCCUGCUGGGCAGUUGCUGACGCUGAGGCGCGACAGCGUGGGGAGCAAACAGG